GCCUUCUUGGUGUAGUGGUCAGCAUGGUCGGCUCGUAUCUCAUAGGUCCGUGGUUCGAGUCCUAGUGAGGGCA
rnacentral:tRNA from 1 species